AUCAUCUCCCUCACAGGGCUCCAAUCCUUAUCUUGUGGCAUGAUGAUCACGUCCAUCAAGGUCAGACUGCACCUGCAAGGAGGAUGACUCCUCAGAGUAGAUCCAGGAAAGUGUACCCGAAGCAGUUCCUUCAAAGAGUCCCUACAAGUACUGAUCAUGCUGCCAUCAGGCAGCUUAAGAGAACCAACCUUGCAAAAGUCCCCAUAGGACAUUAUCUUCACAAGUCUAGAUACCUCAGUUAUAUCCUCAAUUCCCAGAGUCCAUUUAGCUUUAUUAAAACAACUCCCAAUGUUAAAUCUAAGGCUCUCAAACUGUUUGAAAUAACUAAGUGAUAUUUCACUCGCCAUUAUGAUUUAAAUGCAAAGACAUUUUUUCUAGAGGCAAAUUCUCAGUAUAUAAACUGUAGUGC
rnacentral:lncRNA from 1 species